GCGGUGGCUCAGUGGUUAAGAGCACUGGCUGCUCUUCUAGAGGACCUGGGUUUGAUUCCCAGCACGCGUA
rnacentral:tRNA from 1 species